GUUUCACAACAUAAACGUUUUGAUUGCACCCGACCAGAUUAACAGCUAUCGGAGGAAAGCCAAGUACCACCGGAACAAAACAACAUUCAACCCGAUCAGCUUCUAGCUAACUCCAGCAUCACUGAUAAGCAACUCCAUACAUCUGACUCAGAGGGGCAUUGACCAACAUGGAGCUGUCACAAUGCAACAAGAUCAGACAACACAUGCCACUGCUUUUGUGAUAAAUGCCAGAGCCAAGCAUUGUCUCUCACAG